rnacentral:rRNA from 1 species
ACGUUACCAAACUGUUGCCUCGGCGGGAUCUCUGCCCCGGGUGCGUCGCAGCCCCGGAC